CAGCCGCCGCGGUAAUACGUAGGUGGCAAGCGUUGUCCGGAAUUAUUGGGCGUAAAGGGCUCGCAGGCGGUUUCUUAAGUCUGAUGUGAAAGCCCCCGGCUCAACCUUGGAACUGCCUUUGAUACUGUUUGUCUUGAGUUCGAGAGAGGUAAGUGGAACUGCGAGUGUAGAGGUGAAAUUCGUAGAUAUUCGCAGGAACACCAGUGGCGAAGGCGGCUUACUGGCUCGAAACUGACGCUGAGGCGCGAAAGCGUGGGGAGCAAACAGGAUUAGAGACCCCGGUAGUCCCUGUCUCUUAUAC
rnacentral:rRNA from 1 species